CACACGGGGUGUUUUUGAUUAAAAGGUGGUUAGCAUUAAACGUCAGCGAAACCCUGAGAAUUCUGUUCCGAGCUGCGGGCGCUACGGAUGACCAGUAGGGUGAAGCAUUUGAUAGCAGGUUUUUAAUCAGUGGGAUUUAACUCAUGUUUCUCUCAUACAGAAUAUGCACAUUUACAACAUAACGUUAGGCUAACAGCACAAAAUGCAUGAACGUUUAUUAUAACAGUGUUGUCAAUAUGUUAUGUAUGUGACAGACAGUCCUUACAGUCCAGACGUUAUUUUAGUAGGUUGUAUAUGAACUUAUUGGGAGAAAACUAGUUUUAUGUGAAAUCAGACAUUUAAGCCAAAAUGGGAGCGUACCAUUUUGGCUUUAUGGGGGUGCUUAAACCCCCGUGAAUAUUCGACUCCUGUUGAAGCAUCGACUAUUCGGGGUCUAAUUACUUAUCUUAAGAGAUUUGCAUCUAAUUCUUUUCUUUCUGUUUUAUCUGUUCUGUCUUUGAUGUGUUGUGCUGUUUAAAAAAACCUAAAGAUUCGCGAUACCCACUCAGAAGCCUCGAUCUGAAUCAAAUGUUUUGCGAUGCUCUCUGAAUCAAAUGAUUCAGAUGAUUCAGAAUUAUUACUUCAGACAGUUUACUAGUAUGCUCUUGGUGCACUUUCAUAGCUUAAAAAAAGCAGGCAUUACCACAAGACCUAAACCAUCCGCCUGCAGCAGAUCUGACCUCAGAUGGAAACUGAAACCGAUAACCGAUCUGCUGCAGGUCAGAGAAUGAGUCUGCUUUAGGUCAGUAGUCACUCUUCUUAGCAGAAACCUGUGAUUAUCCGGCAUCAUCCGCGAGUACAGACCCAUCUGUGUGCUGCUCAAUCAAGAGCCCUUCUGCAGCACAACAGAUGCUCACUUGAUUUGAUGAACAUGUGCCUGCUUCUCAAUCAAGGCCUUUUUAAUCACUCAUACAUUUUAAAUUACAUUUGCUGAUCCUUUUUCGGAGAAUCAACUCGAUUUGAAAGAGAGAGAGAGAGGAAAUUGUUUAUAAAACAGUCAGUUUUUGAAUACAAUCUGAUCAUCUGUUGUUCAACAUUAAGGAUUUUUUUGUUCAUAUUUCUGCUUAACACACAUGUAUUUUUUUAUUUUUUUUUGUUGAUUUUUGUUUUAAUGUAAUUAUUUUAACACCAAACUUUAUAUAAAAAUUAUUCUCAACUAUGUUAUAAAAAAUAUUUUUAAGCAAAAUGUGUGUACAACGGCUAUAGACGAGUUUUUCCAUUAUAUCCAAUGUAUCUAUAAUAUGCAUUUAAUAUAAUGCAUAUAAUGAACAAAUGAGUGCAAUAGUGGCAUUAAUAAUUAGCAAGAUAUUCCUAAUAUUUUUUAUUUUAUAAGAAAUAUAUAUAUAUAUAUAUAUAUUUACAGUCAAUAAUUUACAAUUUUAAAUAAUAAUUAGAAUUAUUUUAAUUGUGAAAUAUUUUUGUACUUUUUAAUAAUUGUUUUACACAUCAAAAAUAGUGUCUAAAAUGAUUUAUAAAAUAAAAUAAAAGCUGGCAUUACUAACUAUAAUAUAUCUAUGAAUUCAUGCAAGAACUCCUUCUGAAAAACAGUGGCAUAUGGUGCAAAAUGACUGAUUUGCUUGCUUUAAAGAGUAUUUUUCUAGCGGUCUGUCACCUUGAUGACUAAGAGAUCUAAAUGAGCACAAUUCAUAACAUCAGUGUUCAACACAUCACACAAAACCAGCCUGGGACCUGAAACACCUUCACUUAUCCUUAUUCCUGAGGAAGUAUGUUUUCGAAUACAGUGGACGCAGCGAUCUGCGAUAUAGUGAUACCUGGCCUAUUCUUCAAAUUAUGUAUAUAAUUUAUACUAUAUAGCCAAACUGAAAUUUGAGAUCAGUCACAUUAAGUCUCAUAUCAUAUACUCGCCUAUGCUGCAGUAAAAAAGUAAUAGUGUUAAAUUAUUAUUAUUACAAAAUUCAGCAUCGCCACUACAGGCUUCGGCGAUCCUUCAGAAAUCAUUCUGAUUCGCUGCUCAAGAAAUAACGCAAAUAAUAAAAUAUGAUUACGUACUCGUGCUCAUUUAUGAGAUACUAAAAAUGCACCAUCAUCGUCAUCCCGAGGCCUGUAACUUUCUCUCUUUUCCUCUAUUACCGUCUCGCACCUUUCACUCUCCGAGGCACCUGCGAGCGAACGCGGUUACAUAAGACGCACGCAUCAAUCCAGCAUGGUUCGUGAGCGUGGCAUCCGCUCAGAUUAUCCCUGGCUUCAGAUGAGACCGUCCAGCAGAAGAUCUGUCAGAGGCAAACCUACAAUCGUUGCUGAUAUGACACCUGUACAAACAUUCUCCCGUGUGUGGGUUCACACCGUGUUUCUCAUCAGCGUGAAAGAUCUAGUAAAUGGUACGGGGGACGAGUUAAAGAUUGUGAUGAAGGGACAAGUCGUCACUCUGCAGACAGGAGCUACCGGCCUAGAGAGAGAUGCUGAAGUAAUGCGGCUGUUCGAAAGCGGAGACCAACCUACCCGUAUAGCACAGCUGUACGAAGGAACCGUUUUCACUCGUUACGAGCCGAGACUCGUCAACAGACUGGAGCUGGACAGAGAAACCGGAUCGCUGACCAUCUGGAACAUCAGCUCCAGGGAAUCUGGCCUUUACGAAGUCACCAUCGGUGGACUCACGCCAAGGAGGACGUUCAGAGUUCAAGUUUAUGAGCCAGUUUCUGCACCAGCCAUCAGCACUGUUUCUUCAGAUGAAGAAAUCUGCUCUGUGCUCUGCUCUGUACAAAACGAACAAGGUUUGUCCGUCUCUUGGUAUAAAGGGGAUGAAAUGGUGAUCCAGACCAGCAGUCCAGAUCUCAGCAUGAACCUGAGUUUACCAUUAGAGCUCCGAUACACUGAUCCAGAAACCCACAGCUGCCAAUCCAGCGGCCAAUAAGACCGUCCGUGUCCACGUCGGAGAGAUCUGCCCGCAACACGAAGGUUGUCCGGAGCGCUGCGGUGUCACCGAGGUUCUGAUUCGAUUGGUUCUGUCCGGUCUGGUGGGAAUCGCCACCGUUGUCUUUCUGGUUGAACACGCGCUGCGCCGCAGGAAGAGCUUUACCAGGCAAUAAAUGAGCAAACAGAUGAGCCCCAAGAUCACAGCAACAAUAACAACAAACGUGGAAACGUCAAAACUGUGUGCAGACGGGGACUGUAUCUCUGUAAGGUUCAGAAGAACAAAGCAAAAAUGUACAAAAAAUUUAAGGCUUAACCUAAACCCCAAAACAAACAAAAAUGGUAAGUGUAAAAUGUUAUUGGUAACACCGGAAGUGACAUACUCACCGUUUACAGUAACAUCAUAACAUGUCUCUGUUCCUGGUGUGUUUUUAUCUGGAGUGGCCCCGUAGCAUCUGUUGUAGGUGACAUUAUAUACAGUUAGACGUCCAGUCUCUAUUGAAACUCCAGCUUCACUCCUAGUGCUGCAGUUAUCAGCGGGGGCACAGUAUCGACCGACGUCGCCUUUUUUCAGUCCCAUCUUCACAAUGUAUUUCAUUGAAAAAGUCAAUCCAGUAUUUGCGAACGUUAGGCUAGCAUUUCCUCCCUCGGGUACGUUCACCUUUUUGCAUACCAUGGAGGAACCUGUCAAAACAAACAUUGCAAUAUUUUAAUAUGGAUUCCAACUCAGAUUCACGUUCAGAUUUUACAGUCACUUGCUCACAUGAUAUAGAACGAAUUCUAGCAUAUCUACAAAUUUAUAUUCAGAAAAAUGUUGCCAACAAGCGAUUAUUUAUUUGAAUGAUCUCAAAAUGGUAAUAUAUUAGUAUAUUAAUAUUAAUAGGCUAUUUUUCUAUAUUUCCUCUUAAGUGAGAGAUUUAACGUUUGUUAACCUAAAAGGCUUUCCCACCAAAGUAGCAUUUCUGCACAUACUUUAUACAUCAGGCAAUCCCACAAUGCAUUGCAACGAGCUUGGAAUUAUAAUUUUUUUUAAUUCCAUUUAAGAGCAAACGUGAAGUGAGAGAGAUAAAGUAAAAUCUGUACACGUCUUAAUCCAAAAAGCGCGGGUGCUAAUUAUUAUCUACGUUGUGGCAGACAGGGCCACCCCAAGCCUUUACGGGGCCCUAAGCAGAAUUUUAUUUGGGGACCCCUCAGUGAUUAGUUACUGUCAAAGCUUGUUUAUUCACAUAAAUCUAACACCAACGAUCAGGGCUUUUUUUUGUUGUAGUAAUGCUUACAUCAUACUAUUGUUUACCUGGUAUGCUUUUACCGUUCUGUGAUUUUUUUUUUUUUUUUAAUUUAUUCAUUUAUUUUAUUUUUUUUAUUGGUCAGGUGUUAACAUAUUGAAUGGCAUCCUUAAUGUGGUGUAAUAAAAAAGUGCACUGUAAAAUAUGAUUAUAAUUUUAACAAAAAAAAUGAAAAAGCUACAGUUAAAACCUUUUAAAUGGUAAACUCCUGUAAUAUUUACAGGGACAAAAUGUAAAUUGACGUUCCCAGAAUUCCCUGCGAUGCAUUUCAAAUUUUGUUUGUAUUUGAGGCAUUUUUGAAGUUUUGCGUAUUAACUGUAAAUUUA